rnacentral:rRNA from 1 species
UACGGGGGGGGCAAGCGUUGUUCGGAAUUAUUGGGCGUAAAGGGCUCGUAGGCGGUUCGUCACGUCGGGAGUGAAAACUCGGAGCUCAACUCCGAGCCUGCUUCCGAUACGGGCAGACUAGAGGUAGGCAGGGGAGAACGGAAUUCCCGGUGUAGAGGUGAAAUUCGUAGAUAUCGGGAGGAACACCAGUGGCGAAGGCGGCGAUCUGGGUCGAUACUGACGCUGAGGUGCGAAAGCGUGGGGAGCAAACAGG